rnacentral:rRNA from 1 species
GCCCUUAGAGUUUGAUCCUGGCUCAGGAUGAACGCUGGCGGUGUGCUUAACACAUGCAAGUCGAACGAAGCAUUUGCGACAGAUUUCUUCGGAUUGAAGUUGCUUAUGACUGAGUGGCGGACGGGUGAGUAACGCGUGGGUAACCUGCCUCAUACAGGGGGAUAGCAGCUGGAAACGGCUGGUAAUACCGCAUAAGCGCACAGUACCACAUGGUACAGUGUGAAAAACUCCGGUGGUAUGAGAUGGACCCGCGUCUGAUUAGCUUGUUGGCGGGGUAACGGCCCACCAAGGCGACGAUCAGUAGCCGACCUGAGAGGGUGACCGGCCACAUUGGGACUGAGACACGGCCCAGACUCCUACGGGAGGCAGCAGUGGGGAAUAUUGCACAAUGGAGGAAACUCUGAUGCAGCGACGCCGCGUGAGUGAAGAAGUAGUUCGCUAUGUAAAGCUCUAUCAGCAGGGAAGACAGUGACGGUACCUGACUAAGAAGCUCCGGCUGAUCGU